rnacentral:rRNA from 1 species
GGCCUAACACAUGCAAGUCGAGCGCUGUAGCAAUACAGAGCGGCGCACGGGUGAGUAACACGUGGGAACGUGCCCUUUGGUUCGGAAUAACUCAGGGAAACUUGAGCUAAUACCGGAUACGCCCUUCGGGGGAAAGAUUUAUCGCCAUUGGAGCGGCCCACGUUGGAUUAGCUAGUUGGUGAGGUAACGGCCCACCAAGGCGACGAUCCAUAGCUGGUUUGAGAGAACGACCAGCCACACUGGGACUGAGACACGGCCCAGACUCCUACGGGAGGCAGCAGUGGGGAAUCUUGGACAAUGGGGGCAACCCUGAUCCAGCCAUGCCGCGUGAGUGCUNAGCCCUAGGGUUGUAAAACUC